rnacentral:lncRNA from 1 species
GAUUUAAGAUUCCAGCGCGAUGAAAUUACAAGACGAGACAGACUCUGUGGUCGGAAAUUUGUAUACAGCUGAAAGCCUGAAACUGCAGCAACAUCUAGGGCGCAAAGCUUGACUGUUGGUGUGUCUAACUAAAAUGAACAAGGGUAUGAACCAGUACACACGAGGUAAUGAAGGGGGCAGCUUUGUCUCUAGAGGUCUUUCACCUGACCGUAGGAUAGCCGUCGCCCGUUGAGGAUUGCAGUGGUUGAAGCUUCUUCAGUUUCGUCGGACUUGAAUUUCCACUCUGAAAAUGAACCACCAUACCUGCAUCUCUGACUUUCUUGUGGGCGCAAAUGAGAUUGUGAGAACGACAACCACAACUAUGCUCAAGGACAGCCAGUAAUGUAUUUCCCAACACACCCUGAACUUGCUUUUACAGAUUAUUAUUACAUUUCCUCUACUGACCUACUAGUAGACAUCAUCAACUCAACUAGUAAUAAUGUAUUUCCCAGCUCCUGAAUCACUGCUAUGAUUACCACGCCAUCCAAGUGCAGUAUCAGGAUCAGUCAUGCAAACCAUACCUGCUAGUUUACUGAAACUUAAAUUAUCAGGGAACUCAUGAACCAUCCCCACUUGCUUGCAUACUGCAGGUCAGGCUUCCCUAGAAAAUGGUAUAUGGUAUUGUAGGUAAUAGGUAAUGGAAGCCUUUCAUUCAAAGCUUCCUAUACACUCACUUCCCUCUGGGAACGCAAGUAAAACACUGACCUUGUACAGCUAGGAAUCAGCAAGUUCCUGAAGGAGUCUGACUGACUACAAAUUACACCUUCCCAGAAUUUUCAUAGCAAAGGAUGCAUUCCAAAACAUGCCACCACAUUGUGUGACGAUUCGGUAUUCAACUAGACAGCCUGUGCAACUUCUACUCACUUCAUUCACUGCUACUCAAUGUAAAAUAUUAGGAGACCAUGACAGUUCUAAUGCAAACGAUACAGAGGAGCUGCAGUCCCCUCCACAUUUUCUCAUCCGGGUCGGCAAAGGCAGUGUUAAACUACUCCUACUUAAACACAAAAAACAGCAAACACUACAAACAAUUAUAUUGAGCUAAGCACACAAGCCACGCAAUCAACCAAAGGCGGCAUUGACAUGGCACACGAUUGGCAAUAAAUAUUCAUGCCAUGCGGAACAAACAAAGAAUGCCAUAAAUUCCAGAACCUGAAUGAGAGUGAGCGUGAUUCAAAUCUUGCACAGAGAAAGCUUUCGUAGCAUUACAGCGAAACAGAAUGGUGGCAUGUGUAUAAGUUUUGAGUUAAUCGGCAGGAAUCAUCAAAUUAGUAUUUUUGCUAGUUGCCAACUAAAUUAAAACUAGGAAGUUCCCAGAGAACUGAGAAUAUGUAAUUGAAGAUUUGAGAAUAUGUAAUUAAGAUUUCACAAUUCACAUCAAAUUAGCAGUUUGUCAUGAAGAGAUCAUAGUAGCCAUUAGAGGACCGUAAGAUGUGGGAGCACUUUGUGUUUUUAAAUCCAGGAUGAAUAAAAUACUAAACAAACUGCCAUAUGUUGAAAGUACUUGACAGGAAUAGGGUUGAACAAAAUCCAGAUCCCACUGGAGAAGCACCAGCGAGAAGAACACCACUUCUGAAAAUCUACUCCAUACCAACAAACCAGAAUCAUAUUCAGUGGAGUUGACACUAAUCAAAGACAUGCCUAUUCAGGGCAAAAUAUUCGUUCAAGCUUCCAGUUCAGAUCCUUCAGCUCUCAUUGUUUUAGUAUAUAGCAACAGGAGGUCACUACUAUUAAACCAACACAAGUGGGUGGUAGGAUCUUUCUUGUAUCAUUAUAGUUAAAAAUAUGGGCACACCAAAAUUUGAUUUUCUGUCAUAAGUGCACUCAUGGACAAUAGUAUGUAUAGAAUAGUAAACCCACAAAUCCAAGUGUAAUCAAUUCAUAUAUGUAUGAACAUUUUUACUGCAUUCAGAGCUCACGUACAUGCGAUCUUUACUUCCUAUUAUAGGUGAUAAAUUUGCAAGUUGAAAGAUACAAGCAGCCAAAUAUCAAAAUCCAACUUCCUGAAACAGUAUUUCCAUUUUGAUAAUCUGCUAUACAAACUGAGUACCAACUGAUAUUUCCAUUUUGGACCCUUGUUUGAGACUUCUAGCAUUUUCUUGAUUCAAGCGAAAGAUGAGAUCAUAUUCCAUCCAAACCAGUAGGAUGGCACAACAGAAACCAAAGUAAGAUGCUUCAGGACAGUCGAAAGAAUCAGACGUGCACACUACCAACUCAAAGCUGCACCAAAUAUACGAGGCCCCUGAAUGCAAGUUCAAACUGAAAACUACCACAAAGACCAAAUCAUUAUGCUUCAGGAUCAGUAAUCAGAGGUCAAAACCAUCAGGGAAGUCCAUCUUGCAAUAAAACCUCCAACAAUGCAAAUCAAUGAACAACCCAAAUAUAAUCAGCAUACUUAAAGUUUCUUCAAGGAAAGUCAGACCAUAGUGAAAUCUGGUAAUCAGUUGAAACAAGCAUGGAGUCCAGGUGUAAGUUUUUGUGGUUGAAGAAGAUUCCGAACGAAGAUCCCAAACAGCCAUCAGACGAACAUAAAUCGAAGAACUUAAUGUAUAUUCACUCAAAUCUGACGUCGCCAAGCACAGAUGAGGAAUCCAGUAAACCAAUGCGACCAAACAUGGGAAACUGACCUGCCUCGAGUCCCCUUCACCAUACGUUCACAACCCACAUGGAGCUUUACUUCCACACCAGAUCGAGAUCUAGUCCUGCAAGCCAAAUUGUAGAGGAGGCGACAACAGAUGAAAUCCAUGUACAGAGCAAAGGUUUGGGCCCAAACUCCUAAUAACAAUUAUAUCUUGCCAACCCACACACGCAUAAGAAGAAAACACAGGGAUCAAGAGUACAGAUAACAAGCAUGGAGAGCUAGUCAUUGGCAACAUGGCCUGGGCUAAAUAAAAAUCUGUAACCAUAGGAAGGGCAGGGGAAAAAACCUAUAUCAGAGAGAUGCCCAAGUAACUAAAUGAAAUUAGAAAAAAUAGGAUCGUAUGAGUCUUUUUCGGUUGGAGGAUGUGCCAUUAGUUGAAAGCUCUGGAUUAUCCUCAUAUUCGUGCUGCAUAUGAAUCUGUAUUUAAAAUAGUGUCUAGUAAGAUAAUCAAUAGGUUAUGUAAGUUACAAUGAAUUGAAACGAUACUAGUAGAUUUAGAAGAUCAGCAGACGGAUUCAUCAUCAAGCUGAACAUGAGUUCGUCAACUACAACCUGCAGCAAGCAAUAAAAAAAAAUUUAGGGGCAAAUGCUGCUUAUAAAUAGCUAAAGCACGGACGAAAAGAUGAGUGGGAACAAGCAGGUAUGGAUGAUGGAGGACAACAACGCCGGUUCCAAACUGCAGUUAUAUCCUUUCCAAGUCAGUAUCUGCAAGAGCUGAGAAUUACUAAGGCAAAGAAACCCUAAUGUCUAUAGAGUUCAAUUAUAGAGUAAAAAAGUUUUAGCCACGGAAGGAACCGCCACACCGAGGCAAAAUAGGACCGCCUUCUAAAAACAGAUAGUUUAAAUCAGAAAACUGUGAGAAACCAAAACAGAUCAGUGAAGACGAAAGAGUAAAACAGAGGGAGUGAUAAUUAUCCAAACACAGAGCAUCAAGAUGCGUCGCUCCUGCUAAGCCAUAGCCACCGACAUAUCCAAUUAUAUCCUGCACAUAGGCCCAGACUUCCUAAAUAUAUCCUGCAACUGAUACGUGCAGAAGACCAGCACAGGGAUCAAGAGUACAAACAACAAACGAUCCACACACACAGAGAGAGAGAGAUCGCAAACCAAACAAUUUUAACAGAUUCCGACUCACUACCAGCAUGGUUUGGGCUUAAUCUGCAACCAAAGGGAGGGUAGAAGGAAAAACCUAAAUCAAAGACAUGAACAAGUAACUACGUGAAACAAAAAUAGGAGGUGAGUUAAAACUGGAGGAGUCUUUUUCAUUGUAGGAUGUUCCAUUAGUUUGAAUCUCCAUUGUUGAACCUUGGCAGAUAAAUCUGAAUUCAAAAUAUUGUCUGGUAAGAUAAUUUUAAAGGCUGUCUAAGUUCUGAUGAAUUGAGAAAAUAAUAGAAUUAGAAGAACUGCAAACAGAUUCAAGUCAGCAUCAGGUUGGAAGAGUCAUCAACUACGACCUGCAACGAGGGAGAUACCUUUCUACAAGUUACAAGAGGAAAACUAGGCUCAGCUAAAGCAUGCAUCAAAUGUUGAGGUAAAGGGUAAGUAAGCCUGUCUCGGCCGGAGUCGGGUAGACAACACUGGUUCCAAUUAUUUCGCUCCCAAGUCAGCAUCUGCAAGAGCUGCGAAUUACCAACCAAGGCAAAGAAACUAACAUUUGGAAGUUCAAUUAUCAAGGGAGGAUAAAAGGUCAGAUAUGUUGGGCCACAGAAAGAACCUCCAUGCCGAGGAAAAAUAGGACCACCCGCUAAUCCAUAUAAUUCCAAUUUCUGGAGAACCAGCAAAUAUUCUAAAUCAGAAUUGUCGGGCAACUAAUUGAGCUACGGAGAAGAAAUUAAACAGAGAGAGUAAUGAUCAUUCAAGUGCAGGUCAGCAAGAAGAUAGGUCGCUCCCGCUAAGCCAUAUAAUCCCAAUUUCUGGACAACCAGCAACAAAUCCGAAUCAGAAUUGUCGGAGACUAAAAUUGAAUUGAGGAGAAGGAAUUAAAUAGAGGGGUUCGUAAUCAUUCAAAUGCAGAUCAGCAAGAAGAUAGGUUGCUCCUGCUAAACCUUACUAAGCCCAAUUUCUGAAAACAAAUAUAGAUCAGAACUGCCAAGACUAACUUGUACUGUGCAAACCAAAUAAAUUGAAUCGGGGCAGAAUUCAUUAUCCAAACGCUGAUAGCAAGUUCCAGGUUCCAAAGCUACAUUAUCCAACCAAUCAAAAUGAUGAACAGAAACCAAAUCUCCACCAAUUAACCUCAAUUUCUGGAAAACCACAAACGAAUACAGAUCAGAACUACCAAGGGCUAAAUUGUACUGUGCGAACCAAAUAAAUUGAAUUGGGACGGAAUAUAUAUUAUCCAAACGCAGAUCACAAGUUCCAGGUUGGUAAGAGAUCCAAAGCUUCAUUAUCCAAUCAAUCAAAGAACUACUACACUCCUGCAUCUGCUGCAAGCAAAGGAGCACAAACACACACCAACAGCGCGAUCAGCUGCUGCAAUAAGAAUCCAACAGGACCUCUAAUCCACCUCAUAUUAGCUGAUGAUGAAGAAACACGUGAUGAGAACCAGAAGACCACACGGGCGAUAGCCAUUCAAACCUGACCUGCUCAAAUCCCCUUCAACAUACAACACCACAGGAUCUCCACGUUCCAGAUCCAAUCCUGAAACCAAUGUGUGGAGGAACACAACUAAACCAAACAAACCGUUGAUAGAACACUGACCUGACUCACUGUACAGAGAUUUACCCAUAAGCCCAAACUUCCUAAAUAUGUCCUGCAGUGGACAGGAUAAGAGUACAGAUAACGAAUUGAACCGCUUUGAGAUAUAUUGCAAACCAACCGAUUUUAACAGAUUUCGACUCACUACCAAGUACCAACAUGCUCUGGGCUAAAAUAAAUCUGCAAUGCAAGCCUAAAUCAAAGGCAUGAACCAAGUAGUUUGGUGAAAUAAAAAUAAGAGGCAAGAGUUAUAAAUGGAGCAGAGUCUUUUUCUGUUGUAGGAUGUGCCAUUAGUUUGAAGCUCCAUUCUUGCACCUUUGCAGAUGAAUCUGAAUUCAAAAUAUUGCCUGGUGAGAGAUCUUAAAGGUUAUCCAAUUAAUAAUGAAUCGAAGGUUAUCCAAUUAAUAAUGAAUUGAUUAGAUUUAGAAAAAAUGCAAGCAGAUUCAACUCAGCAUCAGUAUAGACUUUGCGUUUGUCAAAACUGCAACUCGUCAAACCUGAAACGAGCAAGGUACUUCUCUGUAAAUUAGGGGGAAACUAAGCUCAGCUAAAGCAUGCUUCAAAUGAGGAGGAGGUAAAAGUUAUAAGAAAGUCUUGUCUGGGAAAGCCAGGUAGACAGCACCGGUUCCAUCCAAGAUGAUGUCUGCAAGAGCUGAGAAUUGACAAACUAAGGCAAAGAAAACUUGUCUGGUGUGUUUUAAUAAUUAUAUUAUUGAGUAAGAAAUAUUUUGAGCCACAGAAAAAGAACCGCCAUGCCAGGGAAAAUAGGACCACCCGUUCAGCCGUAUAAUUCCAAUUUUCUGGAGUAGGAGCAAGAAAUCGAAAUCAGAAUUCUGUGGAGGCUAAUUGAACUGUGGAGAAAAGAAAAUGAACAGAGAGGGGAUGAUCAUCCAAACACAGGUGAGGAAGAAUGACAAGUCGCUCCCAGUAAGCCGUACAAUCCCAAUUUCUGGACAAGCAUGAACAAAUCUAAUUCAGAACAGACUAAAAUUGAACCGUGUAGAUGAAGGGAUUAAGUAGAGGGGGGUAAUUAAUCAUCCAAACGCAGAUGUUGCCCCCGCUAUGCCGUGUAAUCCAAUUUAUAAUUUCUGGAGAAGCAAAGAAUUCAGAUCAGAAUUGCAUGCCGUUGACUACUGUGCAGACCAAGAAACUAAAGUUGGGAGGGUUCAGGUUGGUAAGAGAUCCUAGGCUUCAUCACCCGAGAAGAUCAGACCAUAUCAGGGUAACCGCUGGUCCGUAGCCAAUCAGAAUAACCUCUGAACCUUAACCAACCAUCAAUCAAUCAGAAUAACCAUGAAAAGAAACCAAACCUCCAGAUCUGAAGAACUAGCGCGCCCUCUGGAUUCCUCUGCAUCUAGGUUGAGAGCACAAGACAUACCAAAACCGAGAUCAGCCGGUACAAUUAUAAGAAUAUUAUACGAGGGCCUCGAAUUAAUCCACCUCGUACCAACGGAUGACACGGAGUAAACCAGAGCGGUCGGGGAACCAGAAGAUGACGCGGGCCAUAUCCAUUUGAAAUCUGGAAUCACGGAUGAGCGCAGAGGAAGCGGUGUGAACGAGCACGGGAAUCUGACCAACGCGCGCGGAUGCGAACACGAAUACGAGGAACACGGGAUCCACAGUUGUAAACAGAACCGUACACACGAAACAGAAUCUGAGAUAGACUCGCAAACCAAAUGAAUGAAUCCCCCGAUCGAUCGCUUCCCGGGAUCGCACGGAGGCGGAGGAGACGAGACGGGUCGAAUCCAAGGCAACGGCGACGGCGAGUGAAAUCAAAUCAAACGCGAUUCGGAACGAAUCGGGAAUUGGUGGAGGAGACGCGAGGACGCGAGGAGGCGACUCGGGCGAUCGAGGGCGGAGGCGCGGCCGGAACGAAAGCUCCAGAGGAGAAGAGAGGAGGCCGGAGCGCGGGGUGGAGGGGGCGCACCUGGGGCGCCUUUUCUAGCCGGCGCAGAGGCGGUGCGGGAGGCCUGGCGCCAACCGGUUCCUUACCGGACCGGACACGGCUUCGCCUCGCAAGGAAGGGAUUAA